rnacentral:piRNA from 1 species
UGGCCUUUUUGUCUAACAUAGUCUAC